CCUACGGGAGGCAGCAGUGAGGAAUAUUGGUCAAUGGACGAGAGUCUGAACCAGCCAAGUAGCGUGAAGGAUGAAUGCCCUAUGGGUUGUAAACUUCUUUUAUAAAGGAAUAAAACGAGGCACGUGUGCCUUUUUGCAUGUACUUUAUGAAUAAGGAUCGGCUAACUCCGUGCCAGCAGCCGCGGUAAUACGGAGGAUCCGAGCGUUAUCCGGAUUUAUUGGGUUUAAAGGGAGCGUAGAUGGGUUGUUAAGUCAGUUGUGAAAGCUUGCGGCUCAACCGUAAAAUUGCAUUUUAAACUGGCAGUUCUGAGUACAGUUGAGGUAAGCGGAAUUCGGGGUGGAGCGGGGAAAUGCUUAGAUA
rnacentral:rRNA from 1 species